GUGCUCCCUUCGGCAGCACGUAUACUAAAAUUGGAACGAUACAGAGAAGAUUAGCAUGGCCCUUGUGCACGGAUGACACACAAAUUCGUGAAGCGUUCCACAUUUAA
ensembl:snRNA U6 U6 spliceosomal RNA